AUUGAACGCUGGCGGCAGGCCUAACACAUGCAAGUCGAGCGGAGCGGCGGACGGGUGAGUAAUGCCUAGGAAUCUGCCUGGUAGUGGGGGAUAACGUCCGGAAACGGGCGCUAAUACCGCAUACUAUCAGAUGAGCCUAGGUCGGAUUAGCUAGUUGGUGGGGUAAAGGCCUACCAAGGCGACGAUCCGUAACUGGUCUGAGAGGAUGAUCAGUCACACUGGAAACGGAACACGGUCCAGACUCCUACGGAGGGCAGCAGUGGAGAAUAUUGGCCAAUGGGCUGAAGCCUGAUCCAGCCCUGCCGCGUGUGUGAAGAAGGUCUUCGGAUUGUAAAGCACUUUAAGUUGGGAAGCGUUACCAACAGAAUAAGCACCGGCUAACUUCGUGCCAGCCGCCGCGGUAAUAC
rnacentral:rRNA from 1 species